rnacentral:lncRNA from 1 species
AUGGCUCUUUUGCAUCAGAAAUCUCCUGAGUGUACUCUGGCGGAGCUGGAUUUAUUUUCAGCCCCUAUGACGCAGCUUUCUAUCGAUGAUAAAAUCUAUACAGAAAUUUCCCCCGUGUCAGCCAUCACAGACGGGGGUCCUAUAGAGUUUUUCAUACCUGGAGGCGGUGAAAAGUAUCUGGAUCUAAACGACACCCUUUUGCAUCUCCGGGUGAAAAUCACCAACGCAGAUGGCACAAACCUGGCUAACGACGCGCCAGUGGGUCCCAUCAAUUACCCUCUAAAUACAAUUUUCAGCCAAUGCGACGUUAUUCUGGGGGAUAGAUUAAUUUCACAAUCUAGCGCCACACAUCCAUACAGAGCCAUGAUUGAGACUCUGCUCAACUUUUCAGAGGAUACUCUCAAGAGUCAGUUCACAGCGGGUCUAUUUUACAAAGAUACAGCGGGUGCUAUGAACUCCAUAAUCGUUGAUGAUGGCGCUAAUGAAGGUUUGAACAAGAGAGCCGCUUUCACAGCACUUUCCAGAGAGGUACAACUGCUGGGUCCUCUGCGCGGGGACAUAUUUUUCUGCGAGAGACUUUUGUUAAACUCUGUUGAUUUGAGAAUCAAGCUGACCCGAGCCAGCGAUGCUUUCUGUCUCACAGGGGCUCACAACUCUACCUUCCGUCUGAAAAUAAUGGGGGCCUCGCUGUUUGUUAAAAAAGUCACCGUGGCUCCAGCCGUCCGCUUAGGUCAUGUAGCAGCCUUAAUGAAAGGCAAUUCACUCUAUCCGCUUUCAAGAGUUAAUGUAAAAACAUACUCUAUCCCUGCGAACUCUAGGAUAUGCAACCAGGAGAAUCUCUUUCUGGGUGUCAUGCCUAAAUAUAUAGUCUUGGCCAUGGUACACCAUAAGGCUUUCACAGGCAGAAGAGACCUAUCCCCCUUUGAUUUCAUGCACAAUGAUGUAGAAUAUCUGGCUCUCUGUCAGAAUGGCAGACAGCAUCCUGCUAAGGCACUCCAGCCCCAAUUUAACAACGGACAAUCAGUCAGAGAGUUUUACAACAUGUUUUUGUCCACCGGAAGACAUCUGAAGGAUUUACCCCUGAGCAUCAACCGUGAAGAUUUUAAUGCA